rnacentral:rRNA from 1 species
UGCAGAAUCCCGUGAACCAUCGAGUUUUUGAACGCAAGUUGCGCCCGAGGCCAUCUGGCCGAGGGCACGCCUGCCUGGGCGUCAGUUGCUCUGGAACGCUCCGUGCCCAAAUGUUCAUUCGGCCGGACGCGAAGCCUGGCCCUCCGAGCCCUCGGGCCUGACGGGCCGAAGCGUGUGGCUUGCCGAUUGGGGCCGGCUGUGGCGAGUGGUGGAUCAACCGCUCACGCGGCCCGUACGUCGCCCUCCGUUCCCCAAGAGGGAGAAGCCCUAAGGAUACCCCGGACAUGAGGAUGCCGACCGGCAACCUCGGACGAAGACCCCAGGUCAGGCGGGACCACCCGCCGAGUUUAAGCAUAUAAUUAAGCGGAGGAGAAGAAACUUACGAGGAUUCCCCUAGUAACGGCGAGCGAACCGGGACCAGCCCAGCCUUGGAAUCACGCGGCGCCGCCGCACGA